GUUCAAUCUUGUUGUAAGUCGCUCUGGAUAAGAGCGUCUGCUAAAUUCAUGUAA
rfam:Salmo salar isolate Sally breed double haploid chromosome ssa15, whole genome shotgun sequence.